UACGUAGGGUGCGAGCGUUUGUCCGGAAUUAUUGGGCGUAAAGGGCUCGUAGGCGGUCUGUCACGUCGGGAGUGAAAACUCAGGGCUUAACCCUGAGCCUGCUUCCGAUACGGGCAGACUAGAGGUAUGCAGGGGGAGAACGGAAUUCCUGGUGUAGCGGUGAAAUGCGCAGAUAUCAGGAGGAACACCGGUGGCGAAGGCGGUUCUCUGGGCAUUACCUGACGCUGAGGAGCGAAAGUGUGGGGAGCGAACAGG
rnacentral:rRNA from 1 species